rnacentral:rRNA from 1 species
AUGAACGCUGGCGGCGUGCCUAAUACAUGCCAGUCGAGCGAACGGACGAGAAGCUUGCUUCUCUGAUGUUAGCGGCGGACGGGUGAGUAACACGUGGAUAACCUACCUAUAAGACUGGGAUAACUUCGGGAAACCGGAGCUAAUACCGGAUAAUAUUUUGAACCGCAUGAUUCAAAAGUGAAAGACGGUCUUGCUGUCACUUAUAGAUGGAUCCGCGCUGCAUUAGCUAGUUGGUAAGGUAACGGCUUACCAAGGCAACGAUGCAUAGCCGACCUGAGAGGGUGAUCGGCCACACUGGAACUGAGACACGGUCCAGACUCCUACGGGAGGCAGCAGUAGGGAAUCUUCCGCAAUGGGCGAAAGCCUGACGGAGCAACGCCGCGUGAGUGAUGAAGGUCUUCGGAUCGUAAAACUCUGUUAUUAGGGAAGAACAUAUGUGUAAGUAACUGUGCACAUCUUGACGGUACCUAAUCAGAAAGCCACGGCUAACUACGUG